CGAGCGGCGGACGGGUGAGUAAUGUCUGGGAAACUGCCUGAUGGAGGGGGAUAACUACUGGAAACGGUAGCUAAUACCGCAUAACGUCGCAAGACCAAAGUGGGGGACCUUCGGGCCUCAUGCCAUCAGAUGUGCCCAGAUGGGAUUAGCUAGUAGGUGGGGUAAUGGCUCACCUAGGCGACGAUCCCUAGCUGGUCUGAGAGGAUGACCAGCCACACUGGAACUGAGACACGGUCCAGACUCCUACGGGAGGCAGCAGUGGGGAAUAUUGCACAAUGGGCGCAAGCCUGAUGCAGCCAUGCCGCGUGUAUGAAGAAGGCCUUCGGGUUGUAAAGU
rnacentral:rRNA from 1 species